rnacentral:rRNA from 1 species
GACGAACGCUGGCGGCGUGCUUAACACAUGCAAGUCGAACGAAGAGCGAUGGAAGCUUGCUUCUAUCAAUCUUAGUGGCGAACGGGUGAGUAACGCGUAAUCAACCUGCCCUUCAGAGGGGGACAACAGUUGGAAACGACUGCUAAUACCGCAUACGAUCUAAUCUCGGCAUCGAGGAUAGAUGAAAGGUGGCCUCUACAUGUAAGCUAUCACUGAAGGAGGGGAUUGCGUCUGAUUAGCUAGUUGGAGGGGUAACGGCCCACCAAGGCGAUGAUCAGUAGCCGGUCUGAGGGGAUGAACGGCCACAUUGGGACUGAGACACGGCCCAGACUCCUACGGGAGGCAGCAGUGGGGAAUCUUCCGCAAUGGACGAAAGUCUGACGGAGCAACGCCGCGUGAGUGAUGACGGCCUUCGGGUUGUAAAGCUCUGUUAAUCGGGACGAAAGGCCUUCUUGCGAAUAGUGAGAAGGAUGACGG